GAUGAACGCUGGCGGCGUGCUUAACACAUGCAAGUCGAACGAUGAAGCCCAGCUUGCUGGGUGGAUUAGUGGCGAACGGGUGAGUAACACGCGAGUAACCUGCCCUUGACUCUGGGAUAAGCCUGGGAAACUGGGUCUAACACUGGAUAUGACUUCUCAUCGCAUGGUGGGGGGUGGAGAGAUUUAUUGGUUUUGUCUGGACUCGCGGCCUAUCAGCUUGGUGGUGAGGUAAUGGUUAACCAAGGCGAUGACGGGUAGCCGGCCUGAGAGGGUGACCGGCCACACUGGGACUGCGACACGGCCCAGUAUCCUACGGGAGGCAGCAGUGGGGAAUAUUGCACAAUGGGCGCAAGCCUGAUGCAGCGACGCCGCGUGAGGGAUGACGGCCUUCGGGUUGUAAACCUCUUUCAGUAGGGAAGAAGCGAGAGUGACGGUACCUGCAGAAGAAGCCCCGGCUAACUACGUG
rnacentral:rRNA from 1 species